rnacentral:rRNA from 1 species
AUUGAACGCUGGCGGCAUGCCUUACACAUGCAAGUCGAACGGUAACAGGUCUUCGGAUGCUGACGAGUGGCGAACGGGUGAGUAAUACAUCGGAACGUGCCCGAGAGUGGGGGAUAACGAGGCAAAAGCUUUGCUAAUACCGCAUACGAUUUCAGGAUGAAAGCAGGGGACCGCAAGGCCUUGCGCUCACGGAGCGGCCGAUGGCAGAUUAGGUAGUUGGUGGGAUAAAAGCUUACCAAGCCGACGAUCUGUAGCUGGUCUGAGAGGACGACCAGCCACACUGGGACUGAGACACGGCCCAGACUCCUACGGGAGGCAGCAGUGGGGAAUUUUGGACAAUGGGCGCAAGCCUGAUCCAGCCAUGCCGCGUGCAGGAUGAAGGCCUUCGGGUUGUAAACUGCUUUUGUACGGAACGAAAAGACUCUGGUUAAUACCUGGGGUCCAUGACGGUACCGUAAGAAUAAGCACCGGCUAACUACGUGCCAGCCGCCGCGGUAAGAC